rnacentral:misc_RNA from 1 species
GAAAUGCGAUAAGUAAUGUGAAUUGCAGAAUUCAGUGAAUCAUCGAAUCUUUGAACGCACAUUGCGCCCGCCAGUAUUCUGGCGGGCAUGCCUGUCCGAGCGUCAUUUCAACCAUCAAGCCCCCGGGCUUGUGUUGGGGACCUGCGGCUGCCCGCAGGCCCUGAAAACCAGUGGCGGGCUCGCUGUCACACCGAGCGUAGUAGCAAUCACCUCGCUCAGGGCGUGCUGCGGGUUCCGGCCGUUAAACAGCCUUACAAAACCCACGGUUGACCUCGGAUCAGGUAGGAAGACCCGCUGAACUUAAGC